AGUGAACGCUGGCGGCGUGCCUAAUACAUGCAAGUCGAACGGACGAGUAAGAGCUUGCUCUUAUGAGUUAGUGGCGCACGGGUGAGUAAUGUAUAGCUAAUCUGCCCUACACUAGAGGACAACAGUUGGAAACGACUGCUAAUACUCUAUACACCUCUCUAGCAUAAGUUAGAUAGGGAAAGUUUUUCGGUGUAGGAUGAGGCUAUAUUGUAUCAGCUAGUUGGUGGGGUAAUGGCUCACCAAGGCUAUGACGCAUAACUGGUCUGAGAGGAUGAUCAGUCACACUGGAACUGAGACACGGUCCAGACUCCUACGGGAGGCAGCAGUAGGGAAUAUUGCUCAAUGGGGGAAACCCUGAAGCAGCAACGCCGCGUGGAGGAUGACACUUUUCGGAGCGUAAACUCCUUUUGUUAGGGAAGAACAAUGACG
rnacentral:rRNA from 1 species